rnacentral:rRNA from 1 species
CGGUGAGGUGACUUGGCUGGUUAAUUCCGAUAACGGACGAGACCUCGACCUACUAACUAGUGAUUCUUUACUUCCGUAAAGCAAAAGCUACUUAGAGGGACUUUGGGAGUCUAUUCCAAGGAAGUUCGAGCCUAUAACA